rnacentral:rRNA from 1 species
UAGAGGAAGUAAAAGUCGUAACAAGGUUUCCGUAGGUGAACCUGCGGAAGGAUCAUUACCUAGAGUUGUAGGCUUUGCCUGCUAUCUCUUACCCAUGUCUUUUGAGUACCUUCGUUUCCUCGGCGGGUUCGCCCGCCGAUUGGACAAUUUAAACCAUUUGCAGUUGCAAUCAGCGUCUGAAAAAACAUAAUAGUUACAACUUUCAACAACGGAUCUCUUGGUUCUGGCAUCGAUGAAGAACGCAGCGAAAUGCGAUAAGUAGUGUGAAUUGCAGAAUUCAGUGAAUCAUCGAAUCUUUGAACGCACAUUGCGCCCCUUGGUAUUCCAUGGGGCAUGCCUGUUCGAGCGUCAUUUGUACCUUCAAGCUCUGCUUGGUGUUGGGUGUUUGUCUCGCCUCUGCGUGUAGACUCGCCUCAAAACAAUUGGCAGCCGGCGUAUUGAUUUCGGAGCGCAGUACAUCUCGCGCUUUGCACUCAGAACGACGACGUCCAAAAGUACAUUUUUACACUCUUGACCUCGGAUCAGGUAGGGAUACCCGCUGAACUUAAGCAUAU